rnacentral:rRNA from 1 species
GAUGAACGCUGGCGGCGUGCCUAAUACAUGCAAGUCGAGCGAACAGACGAGGAGCUUGCUCCUCUGACGUUAGCGGCGGACGGGUGAGUAACACGUGGAUAACCUACCUAUAAGACUGGGAUAACUUCGGGAAACCGGAGCUAAUACCGGAUAACAUGUUGAACCGCAUGGUUCAACAGUGAAAGACGGUUUUGCUGUCACUUAUAGAUGGAUCCGCGCUGCAUUAGCUAGUUGGUAAGGUAACGGCUUACCAAGGCAACGAUGCGUAGCCGACCUGAGAGGGUGAUCGGCCACACUGGAACUGAGACACGGUCCAGACUCCUACGGGAGGCAGCAGUAGGGAAUCUUCCGCAAUGGGCGAAAGCCUGACGGAGCCACGCCGCGUGAGUGAUGAAGGUCUUCGGAUCGUAAAACUCUGUUAUUAGGGAAGAACAUAUGUGUAAGUAUCUGUGCCCAUCCUGACGGUACCUAAUCAGAAAGCCACGGCUAACUACGUG